UUUAUGUGCAACUAUAACUUUUCGUAUCCAACUUUGAUCGUUCAUAUUAUUUAUAAUUAGUAUUUUCAUUGUUAUUAGAUAAUAAAACAUGAAUAAUACUUUAUACGUGAUUUAUGUUUUUUAAUUUAUUUAAAUAAGAUGAUGAUUAAAGUUGAAUACGGAAAAUUAUUGUGUUUAAA
rfam:Oryza punctata chromosome 3, whole genome shotgun sequence.